UCAGAUAAAUUUAAUAAAGAUAAAACACUAUUUAUCUCAUACGCAUUCCAACAAAUCUAUAUAAUUCUAAAUUUUUUUUCAAAAUCUUCAAUUAACAAAUUGUCAUAGUAUCCCACUAUCGAAUACCUUUUUGUCAAGACGAUCACACCCCUAUAUAGAAUCGAGUCCAAUAUUAGAAAGAGUACAAAUAAUUAUGAAAGGACAGGUUAACGGUAGUCACAUCCAAC
rnacentral:lncRNA from 1 species